rnacentral:tRNA from 1 species
GGCCUGGUCGCCAAGUGGUAAGGCAUGGGUCUGCAAAACCCUUACGCGGGGGUUCGAUUCCCCCCCAGGCCUCCA